rnacentral:rRNA from 1 species
GAUGAACGCUGGCGGCGUGCUUAACACACGCAAGUCGAGCGAGUGAGUUCUUCGGAACGAUCUAGCGGCGGACGGGUGAGUAACACGUGGGCAACCUGCCUCAUAGAGGGGAAUAGCCUCCCGAAAGGGAGAUUAAUACCGCAUAAAAUUAUCGAGUGGCAUCACAUGAUAAUCAAAGGAGUAAUCCGCUAUGAGAUGGGCCCGCGGCGCAUUAGCUAGUUGGUGAGGUUACGGCUCACCAAGGCGACGAUGCGUAACCGACCUGAGAGGGUGAUCGGCCACAUUGGGACUGAGACACGGCCCAGACUCCUACGGGAGGCAGCAGUGGGGAAUAUUGCACAAUGGGGGAAACCCUGAUGCAGCAACGCCGCGUGAGUGAUGAAGGUCUUCGGAUUGUAAAGCUCUGUCUUUGGGGACGAUAAUGACGGUACCCAAGGAGGAAGCCACGGCUAACUACGUGCCAGCCGCCGCAGUAA